UACAGAGGGUGCGAGCGUUGUUCGGAAUUAUUGGGCGUAGAGGGCGCGUAGGCGGCGCGGUAAGUCACCUGUGAAAUCUCCUGGCUCAACUGGGAGCUUGCAGGCGAAACUGCCGUGCUGGAGUGUGGGAGAGGUGCGUGGAAUUCCUGGUGUAGCGGUGAAAUGCGUAGAUAUCAGGAGGAACACCUGUGGCGAAAGCGGCGCACUGGACCACAACUGACGCUGAGGCGCGAAAGCUAGGGGAGCAAACAGG
rnacentral:rRNA from 1 species